GGGUUGUGAGGUUAAGCGACUAAGCGUACACGGUGGAUGCCCUGGCAGUCAGAGGCGAUGAAGGGCGUGCUAAUCUGCGAUAAGCGCCGGUAAGGUGAUAUGAACCGUUAUAACCGGCGAUACCCGAAUGGGGAAACCCAGUGUGAUUCGUCACACUAUCAUUAACUGAAUCCAUAGGUUAAUGAGGCGAACCGGGGGAACUGAAACAUCUAAGUACCCCGAGGAAAAGAAAUCAACCGAGAUUCCCCCAGUAGCGGCGAGCGAACGGGGAGGAGCCCAGAGCCUGAAUCAGCAUGUGUG
rnacentral:rRNA from 3 species